AGAGUUUGAUCCUGGCUCAGGACGAACGCUGGCGGUGCGCUUUAUGCAUGCAAGUCGAGCGAAGCUUUUCAGUAGUUUACUACAGAAAAUGACUGAGCGGCGAACGGGUGAGUAACGCGUGAGCAAUCUACCUUAGUUACAGGGAUAGCCCGAGGAAACUCGGAUUAAUACCUGAUAUUCUUUAUUUCUCGCAUGAGAAUAAAAGGAAAGGUCAGCCGAACUAAGAUGAGCUCGCGUUCUAUCAGCUAGUUGGUGAGGUAAAAGCUCACCAAGGCUACGACGGAUAGCUGGUCUGAGAGGACGAUCAGCCACACUGGGACUGAGACACGGCCCAGACUCCUACGGGAGGCUGCAGCAGGGAAUAUUGUGCAAUGAACGAAAGUUUGACACAGCGACACAGCGUGUGGGAUGACGGAUCUAGGUUUGUAAACCACUUUCAGGAGGGAAGAAAAUGACGGUACCUCCAUAAGAAGCCCCGGCCAACUACGUGCCAGCAGCCGCGGUAAUACGUAGGGGGCGAGCGUUGUCCGGAUUUAUUGGGCGUAAAGAGCUCGUAGGCGGUUCAACAAGUCGGUCGUGAAAGUUCAGGGCUCAACCCUGAAAUGUCGAUCGAUACUGUUGUGACUAGGAUACGGUAGAGGUGAGUGGAAUUCCGAGUGUAGCGGUGAAAUGCGUAGAUAUUCGGAGGAACACCAAUUGCGAAGGCAGCUCACUGGGCCGCUAUCGACGCUGAGGAGCGAAAGCUAGGGGAGCAAACAGGAUUAGAUACCCUGGUAGUCCUAGCUGUAAACGAUGGAUACUAGACGUAGGAACUGGAUUGACGGUUUCUGUGUCGCAGCUAACGCGUUAAGUAUCCCGCCUGGGGAGUACGGUCGCAAGACUAAAACUCAAAGGAAUUGACGG
rnacentral:rRNA from 1 species